GAUGAACGCUGGCGGCGUGCUUAACACAUGCAAGUCGAACGAUGAAGCCCAGCUUGCUGGGUGGAUUAGUGGCGAACGGGUGAGUAACACGUGAGUAACCUGCCCUUGACUCUGGGAUAAGCCCGGGAAACUGGGUCUAAUACCGGAUAGGAGCGCCUGUCGCAUGACGGGUGUUGGAAAGAUUUUUCGGUCAUGGAUGGACUCGCGGCCUAUCAGCUUGUUGGUGAGGUAAUGGCUCACCAAGGCGACGACGGGUAGCCGGCCUGAGAGGGUGACCGGCCACACUGGGACUGAGACACGGCCCAGACUCCUACGGGAGGCAGCAGUGGGGAAUAUUGCACAAUGGGCGGAAGCCUGAUGCAGCGACGCCGCGUGAGGGAUGACGGCCUUCGGGUUGUAAACCUCUUUCAGUAGGGGAGAAGCGAAAGUGACGGUACCUGCAGAAGAAGCACCGGCUAACUACGUG
rnacentral:rRNA from 1 species